AACGAACGCUGGCGGCAGGCUUAACACAUGCAAGUCGAACGGACGUAGCAAUACGUUAGUGGCAGACGGGUGAGUAACGCGUGGGGAUAUGCCCUUUAGUUCGGAAUAACACAGAGAAAUUUGUGCUAAUACCGGAUAAUCCCGAGAGGGGAAAGAUUUAUCGCUGAAGGAGUAGCCCGCGUCUGAUUAGCUAGUUGGUGAGGUAAUGGCUCACCAAGGCGACGAUCAGUAGCUGGUCUGAGAGGAUGAUCAGCCACACUGGGACUGAGACCCGGCCCAGACUCCUACGGGAGGCAGCAGUGGGGAAUAUUGGACAAUGGGGGCAACCCUGAUCCAGCCAUGCCGCGUGAGUGAUGAAGGCCUUAGGGUUGUAAAACUCUUUUGUCCGGGAAGAUAAUGACUGUACCGGAAGAAUAAGCCCCGGCUAACUUCGUGCCAGCCGCCGCCGUAA
rnacentral:rRNA from 1 species